GAUGAAGAACGUAGCGAAAUGCGAUAAGUAAUGUGAAUUGCAGAAUUCAGUGAAUCAUCGAAUCUUUGAACGCACAUUGCGCCCGCCAGUAUUCUGGCGGGCAUGCCUGUUCGAGCGUCAUUUCAACCAUCAAGCCCUGCUUGCGUUGGGGUCCUGCGGCUGCCCGCAGGCCCUGAAAACCAGUGGCGGGCUCGCUAGUCACACCGAGCGCAGUAAUACAUCUCGCUUUGGGCGUGCGGCGGGUUCUUGCCGUUAAACACCCCCUUUUUACCAAGGUUGACCUCGGAUCAGGUAGGAUUACCCGCUGAACUUAAGCAUAUCAAUAAGCGGAGGA
rnacentral:misc_RNA from 1 species